rnacentral:rRNA from 1 species
UACGUAGGGGGCCAGCGUUGUCCGGAUUUAUUGGGCGUAAAGAGCGUGUAGGCGGCCAGGUAGGUCUGCUGUGAAAACUCGAGGCUCAACCUCGAGACGCCGGCGGAAACCAUCUGGCUAGAGUCCGGAAGAGGAGAGUGGAAUUCCUGGUGUAGCGGUGAAAUGCGCAGAUAUCAGGAAGAACACCCGUGGCGAAGGCGGCUCUCUGGGACGGUACUGACGCUGAGACGCGAAAGCGUGGGGAGCGAACAGG